rnacentral:rRNA from 1 species
AUGGAGACGUCGCUCCUCAUCGCCGGCGCCCUCCUCCUCCUCUCCCUCGUCGCCCUGCUCCGCAACGCCGCCGCCCGACGCCGCCUCCCGCCGGGCCCGCCGGCGUUGCCGCUGUUCGGCAACCUGCUCUGGCUGCGCAACUCGGCGUCCGACGUGGAGCCCCUCCUCCUGGGCCUCUUCAAGCAGUACGGCCCCAUCGUGGCGCUCCGGAUCGGGUCGCGGCUGUCCGUCUUCGUGGCCGACCGGCACCUCGCGCACAAGGCCCUCGUGGGCGCCGGCGUGGCGCUGGCCGACCGCCCGCGCGCCGCCACCAGCUCGCUCCUCGGCGUCACGGACAACAUCAUCACCCGCGCCAACUACGGGCCCGUGUGGCGCCUCCUGCGCCGCAACCUCGUCUCCGAGACGCUCCACCCCAGCCGCGUCAAGCUGUUCGCGCCGGCGCGCGCCUGGGUGCGCCGCGUGCUCAUGGAGAAGCUGCGGGAGGAGGACACGCCCGACGUCAUGGAGGCGUUCCAGUACACCAUGUUCUGCCUGCUCGUGCUCAUGUGCUUCGGCGAGCGCCUGGACGAGCCCGCGGUGCGCGCCAUCGAGGAGGCCGAGCGCGCCUGGCUGCUCUACAUCUCCAGGAAGCUCACUGUCUUCUUCUUCGUCCCGGCCGUCACCAAGCACCUCUUCCGCGACCGCCUCCGCGUCGCGCACGCCCUGCGGAUGCGCCAGAGGGAGCUCUUCGUGCCGCUCAUCCAUGCGCGGCGGGAGUACAAGCGGCUGGUCGGCGAGGGCCGGGCGCCGGCCAAGGAGACCACGUUCGAGCACUCGUACGUGGACACGCUGCUCGACGUCACGCUCCCCGAGGAGGGCAACCGCCCGCUCACCGACGACGAGAUCGUGGCGCUCUGCUCCGAGUUCCUCAACGCCGGCACCGACACCACCUCCACGGGGCUGCAGUGGAUCAUGGCGGAGCUGGUCAAGAACCCGGCCGUGCAGGACAGGCUCUACGAGGAGAUCAAGGCCACCUGCGGGGAGGACGGCGCGGAGGAGGUCUCGGAGGAGAAGAUGGACGCGGCCACCAUGCCGUACCUCAAGGCGGUGGUCCUGGAGGGCCUGCGCAAGCACCCGCCGGGGCACUUCGUGCUGCCGCACAAGGCGGCGCAGGACAUGGACGUGGGCGGGUACCUGAUCCCCAAGGGCACGACGGUGAACUUCAUGGUGGCGGAGAUGGGCCGGGACGAGGGGACGUGGGACAAGGCCAUGGAGUUCGCGCCGGAGCGGUUCCUGGAGGCCGGCGACAAGCUGGCGGCGGUGGACCUGUACGGCAGCAAGGGGAUCAAGAUGAUGCCGUUCGGCGUGGGGCGGAGGAUCUGCGCGGGGCUGAGCAUCGCCAUGCUGCACCUCGAGUACUUCGUGGCCAACAUGGUCAAGGAGUUCGAGUGGAAGGAGGUGGCCGGCCACGAGGUGGACUUGGCCGAGAAGCGCGAGUUCACCACCGUCAUGGCCAACCCGCUGCGCCCGCGCCUUGUGCCCAGGAACUGA